rnacentral:rRNA from 1 species
UAGGGAAUCUUCCGCAAUGGGCGAAAGCCUGACGCAGCAACGCCGCGUGAGUGAUGAAGGCCUUCGGAUCGUAAAACUCUGUCACCAGGGAAGAACAAAUGUGUAAGUAACUAUGAACGUCUUGACGGUACCUAAUCAGAAAGCCACGGCUAACUACGUGCGAGCAGCUGCGGUAAUACGUAGGUGGCAAGCGUUAUCCGGAAUUAUUGGGCGUAAAGCGCGCGUAGGCGGUUUUGUAAGUCUGAUGUGAAAGCCGACGGCUCAACCGUGGAAGUGCAUUGGAAACUGGAAAGCUUGAGUGCAGAAGAGGAAGGUGGAAUUCCAUGUGUAGCGGUGAAAUGCGGAGAGAUAUAGAGAAACACCAGGGGCGAAGGCGACUUUCUGGUCUGUAACUGACGCUGAUGUGCGAAAGCGUGGGGAUCAAACAGG